CGGGGCGUGGCGCAGGGGUAGCGCACCAGCUUUGGGAGCUGGGGGUCGUGGGUUCGAAUCCCACCGCCCCGACCA
rnacentral:tRNA from 1 species